rnacentral:rRNA from 1 species
UACGUAGGGGGCAAGCGUUGUCCGGAUUUAUUGGGCGUAAAGAGCGUGUAGGCGGCUUGGUAGGUCCGCUGUGAAAACUCGAGGCUCAACCUCGAGAUGUCGGCGGAAACCACUUGGCUAGAGUCCGGAAGAGGAGAGUGGAAUUCCUGGUGUAGCGGUGAAAUGCGCAGAUAUCAGGAAGAACACCUAUGGCGAAGGCAGCUCUCUGGGACGUUACUGACGCUGAGACGCGAAAGCGUGGGGAGCAAACAGG